rnacentral:rRNA from 1 species
UACAGAGGGUGCAAGCGUUGUUCGGAAUUAUUGGGCGUAAAGGGCGCGUAGGCGGUGCCACAAGUCACCUGUGAAAUCUCCGGGCUUAACUCGGAGCCUGCAGGCGAAACUGUGGUGCUGGAGUGUGGGAGAGGUGCGUGGAAUUCCUGGUGUAGCGGUGGAAUGCGCAGAUAUCAGGAGGAACACCAAUAGCGAAGGCAGCUCGCUGGGACGUUACUGACACUGAGGCGCGAAAGCGUGGGGAGCGAACAGG